rnacentral:rRNA from 1 species
UACGUAGGGUGCUAGCGUUGUUCGGAAUCACUGGGCGUAAAGGGCGCGUAGGCGGCUGUUCAAGUCGGGGGUGAAAGCCUGUGGCUCAACCACAGAAUGGCCUUCGAUACUGGACGGCUCGAGACCGGAAGAGGUCAGUGGAACUGCGAGUGUAGAGGUGAAAUUCGUAGAUAUUCGCAAGAACAUCAGUGGCGAAGGCGGCUGACUGGUCCGGUUCUGACGCUGAGGCGCGAAAGCGUGGGGAGCAAACAGG